GUCCCUGUGGCGCAGUGAAUAGCUUAUUGGACUUCUAAUCCAAAGGGCGUGGGUUUGAAUCCUACCUGGGAUG
rnacentral:tRNA from 1 species